AGGGGGGCCAAUUAAGAGAGGCCUGAUUACAAUCCAGGUGAACAAAGAUGGCAACUACUGGUCUCAGGCCGGUCACGAUAGAGGUUGUGAAAGCAGUCGGAUUCUAAACAUAUUUUUAAAGAUUCUUUUCCUAGAUGGUUAUUAGCAUAUUGAGCAGAGUUCCCUGUGCUAUACGGAACCCUCCAGUGAUUUUAGAUAACAAGCGCCAGCCUCCGAUGGUAAACCAGGCUUCAUCUUGGCCUCAUCCAUGCCAGGUGACCUUGGCAAACCCACUUAACCCCUGGGACCUCAAUUUCCCCAGC